GAGGAGACCAGGGUACGCAGGGAAACUCGGGCCCCCCGGGGCCCCCUGGAGGGCCGGGGCCCCAAGGAGACGACGGGGAACAAGGGGAACGAGGAUCGCCUGGAACUCAAGGAGAAGAAGGACCCAAAGGGCCCCCAGGACCACCAGGAUUCAGAGGACCUCCAGGGCCUAUGGGUGAGCAGGGUAAUCGAGGCGUGAUCGGCGACGUCGGCUUCAAGGGCUGGAAGGGCUUCAACGGGAUGCAUGGCUUGCAGGGUAGACCGGGUAUCCCUGGAGAACCAGGCGGGCCAGGACCGGAUGGACCAGAGGGGCCACAGGGUCCUCAAGGUAUCCAGGGAGACAAGGGUCGAGACGGGGCCAACGGAGACCGGG